AUGGGCUUGAGAGGGGCUGGAUUCAGCAGCUCUUCAGCAGCAGCAAAGGACACCUUCCGGAUUGGGCCUGGCGCGACGGCAACCGCAGCUGGAGGUGGCCCUUCUAGGAGCGGAUCCGGGAAGGUGGACGAGCUUGUAGAGGCAUGGCACAUCGGCGGGGAGCCCAGAUCUGGCGUGGAUCCAGCCAGCGGACGAGGUCCCCAUGAGCAUACCUUGGGGUUGGGAAACCGGGAGGGAACCGCGGUGUUGCAGGGGAAAAGCAGGGCUGGGCGUGGGACGGCGCAGCGGCGGCGGCGUUGGUGGCUGCGGGCGCCGGAGCGGCGCGUCGCAGGAGCGUAA
rnacentral:rRNA from 1 species